ensembl:lncRNA
CGUGAACGUUGGCGAUUUUUCAAAGCUGCCAAAACGCAAUUUGAUAAAAUGUCGGCACGCCUGAACAAGAUUUUGGAGAGUAUUGUGGAUCUGGACGAAGAGCAAAGCGAGUCUGUAGUCAGAAGCUCAGAAAGAUGUCCUUCAGCAGGAAGGCCUUCUGAGUCUGUGUCUACAGUCAACUCCAGGGAAACUUGUGAAAAAGUUUCCAAACAGACGGUCCAUGAAGAGUCUGAGUCCGAUGACAGAUCCUCCCAUCAAGAACCAGCGACUGAACUGGUCUCUGCUCCUGAACCCGCCACUUCCCAGGUCAGAAAAGAAUCACAUUCUUCGCUCUACUUGUCCCCCGAAGAAAAGGAUGUCGUCGGCGCUCUGCUGCUGAAGGCGAUGGCAAAAUUCCUCUGUAAAUCCAAGGGGUUAGUCACCUCAGAGGAACUCCAGCUCAUCCUGAAGCAACUGUUGAUCCUUCUGGAUGAACGCUACCUGUCACCUGACUUCAUCACAAAAAUAACCCAGGAGAUGGACAAAAUAUCGAAGGCCAUGGCGAAGGACCUUGAAAGGAUGUUUGGCUCUGCAGAAAAGCUGCUGGAGGCAGCGACGACUGCAAAAGAUGAAUCUUUUAAGGAUGCUGUGUGGAUGGUUUUGCAGGUUAAUUUAGAAGCCAUCCCUCGACCAGACAAUUUGAGAUCUAGAGUCUCUAGGUUCUUCUUAGCGGUGAGAAGAUAUCAAUUUUCCAAGGCUGCCAAAACGCAAUUUGAUAAAAUGUCGGCAUGCCUGUACAGGUUUUGUGAGAGCAUUGUGGAUCUGGAGGACGAGCAAAACGAGUAUGUAGUCAGAAGGUCAGAAGAGUCUGAGUCUGAUAACAGAUCCUCCCAUCAAGAACCAGCGACUGAACUGGUCUCUGCUCCUGAACCCGCCACUUCCCAGGUCAGAAAAGAAUCACAUUCUUCGCUCUACUUGUCCCCCGAAGAAAAGGAUGUCGUCGGCGCUCUGCUGCUGAAGGCGAUGGCAAAAUUCCUCUGUAAAUCCAAGGGGUUAGUCACCUCAGAGGAACUCCAGCUCAUCCUGAAGCAACUGUUGAUCCUUCUGGAUGAACGCUACCUGUCACCUGACUUCAUCACAAAAAUAACCCAGGAGAUGGACAAAAUAUCGAAGGCCAUGGCGAAGGACCUUGAAAGGAUGUUUGGCUCUGCAGAAAAGCUGCUGGAGGCAGCGACGACUGCAAAAGAUGAAUCUUUUAAGGAUGCUGUGUGGAUGGUUUUGCAGGUUAAUUUAGAAGCCAUCCCUCGACCAGACAAUUUGAGAUCUAGAGUCUCUAGGUUCUUCUUAGCGGUGAGAAGAUAUCAAUUUUCCAAGGCUGCCAAAACGCAAUUUGAUAAAAUGUCGGCAUGCCUGUACAGGUUUUGUGAGAGCAUUGUGGAUCUGGAGGACGAGCAAAACGAGUAUGUAGUCAGAAGGUCAGAAGAGUCUGAGUCUGAUAACAGAUCCUCCCAUCAAGAACCAGCGACUGAACUGGUCUCUGCUCCUGAACCCGCCACUUCCCAGGUCAGAAAAGAAUCACAUUCUUCGCUCUACUUGUCCCCCGAAGAAAAGGACGUCGUCAGCGCUCUGCUGCUGAAGGCGAUGGUCAAAUUCCUCUGUAAAUCCAGGGCGUUAGUCACCACAGAGGAACUCCAGCUCAUCCUGAAGCAACUGUUGAUCCUUCUGGAUGAACGCUACCUGUCACCUGACUUCAUCACAAAAAUAACCCAGGAGACGGAUGAAAUAUCGAAGGCCAUGGCGAAGGACCUUGAAAGGAUGUUUGGCUCUGCAGAAAAGCUGCUGGAGGCAGCGAUGACUGCAAAAGAUGAAUCUUUUAAGGAAGCUGUGUGGAUGGUUUUGCAGGUUAAUUUAGAAGCCAUCCCUCGACCAGACAAUUUGAGAUCUAGAGUCUCUAGGUUCUUCGUAGCGGUGAGAAGAAACUAUCGCCGUUUGAAGAGGAGCUGGGUGGGAGUUAACAUCAUAGCGAUUACAAUAUUUAUCCUUUUUUUUAUAUCCACAUUUCGUUUGUGAGAAAAUCACAGUAUAGAUAAGUCCUUUAUUUCUCCCCACGCCAGGGGAAAUUGACAUUGUUACAGCAGCUUAUGUAGCAAUAGGUGUAGUAAUAGAAAAAAAAAAAUAAUAGAACAGUAGUAAUAAUUUUUACAAUAUGUACAGGGAUGAGAAAUGAGGACGAAAUAGUACAGUAUUGACAUACUGUAAGACAAGAAUCACAGUGGCUUAAAAAAAAAUAAAGCGCCACCAUGAAGGUCAUAUUUUGUAGUUAAAAUAAAAAUUAAAUAAUAAAAAUCAUAAUACCAGAAUAUUUUUUCUCUUUGUUGACUGUGUGCUGCAGCUUCUCAUGAAUUCUUUCUUCUUCUCACUUGUUCUGAGUGACUUUAACAGACUUUUCUAACAGACCUUUUUUAUAUUUGUAACUUCUGCUGAAGACAACAGAUUAAUGUGGGUCUUAUUGAAUAAAGUAUGUCAGUGUCUGAACUCAGCUGCUCUGAUCCUCACGUGAUUAUUCCGGAAGCGUCUCUCUGUGACAUCACACUGGGAGCUGUGCCACUCACACCACCUAGCAACAGCCAAACAACAAGCCAGAAACCGAAGAUGUUUAUCG